rnacentral:rRNA from 1 species
AUGCACGCUAGCUACAGGCUUCACCCCUGCCAGUCGCGGGGAAACGGCAUCGAAAGCUUGCUUUUGAUGGGCGUCGACCGGCGCACGGGUGAGUAACGCGUAUCCAACCUGCCCAUCACUUGGGAAUAACCUUGCGAAAGUAAGACUAAUGCCCAAUGACAUCCCACGAAGGCAUCCGAAUGGGAUUAAAGAUUUAUCGGUGAUGGAUGGGGAUGCGUCUGAUUAGCUUGUUGGCGGGGUGACGGCCCACCAAGGCAACGAUCAGUAGGGGUUCUGAGAGGAAGGUCCCCCACAUUGGAACUGAGACGCGGUCCAAACUCCUACGGGAGGCAGCAGUGAGGAAUAUUGGUCAAUGGGCGAGAGCCUGAACCAGCCAAGUAGCGUGCAGGAUGACGGCCCUAUGGGUUGUAAACUGCUUUUAUAAGGGAAUAAAGUGGGUCACGUGUGACUUUUUGCAUGUACCUUAUGAAUAAGGACCGGCUAAUUCCGUG